rnacentral:snRNA from 1 species
GUUCUCACUGGCAGGGGAGAUGCCAUGAUCUUCCCCAGGCGAGGCUUAUCCACCGCACUCCGGAUGUGCUGACCCCUGCAAUUUCCCCAAAAGUGGGAAACUCAGCUGCAUCAUCUGUGGUCAUGGGGGCUGUGUUCAUGCUUUCCCCUG